rnacentral:rRNA from 1 species
UGUAAGCGUAUACCAAAGUUGUUGCAGUUAAAACGCUCGUAGUCGGAAUUUGGCAGUUCCGGAAGUGUGCACGUCGUGUGCGCACUUUGCGGGGACUGCUUUUGUGGUCUUGCGUAGGAUGAGGCACUUUCAUUAGUGAACGUCCUCACGCAACCCCUCUUUACUGUGAGAAAAUCAGAGUGCUCAAAGCAGGCAUUUGCCGUGAAUGUAUUAGCAUGGAAUAAUAGAAUAGGACUCGGUUCUAUUUUGUUGGUUUGUUGGGACUGAGUAAUGAUUAAGAGGGACAGUUGGGGGCAUUUGUAUUCCGGCGCUAGAGGUGAAAUUCUUAGAUUGCCGGAAGACAAACUGCUGCGAAAGCGUCUGCCAAGGAUGUUUUCAUUGA